rnacentral:rRNA from 2 species
GGAUGAACGCUGGCGGCGUGCCUAAUACAUGCAAGUCGAGCGAACAGACGAGGAGCUUGCUCCUCUGACGUUAGCGGCGGACGGGUGAGUAACACGUGGGUAACCUACCUAUAAGACUGGGAUAACUUCGGGAAACCGGAGCUAAUACCGGAUAAUAUUUUGAACCGCAUGGUUCAAAAGUGAAAGAUGGCUCUGCUAUCACUUAUAGAUGGACCCGCGCCGUAUUAGCUAGUUGGUAAGGUAACGGCUUACCAAGGCGACGAUACGUAGCCGACCUGAGAGGGUGAUCGGCCACACUGGAACUGAGACACGGUCCAGACUCCUACGGGAGGCAGCAGUAGGGAAUCUUCCGCAAUGGGCGAAAGCCUGACGGAGCAACGCCGCGUGAGUGAUGAAGGUCUUCGGAUCGUAAAACUCUGUUAUUAGGGAAGAACAUACGUGUAAGUAACUGUGCACGUCUUGACGGUACCUAAUCAGAAAGCCACGGCUAACUACGUGCCAGCAGCCGCGGUAAUACGUAGGUGGCAAGCGUUAUCCGGAAUUAUUGGGCGUAAAGCGCGCGUAGGCGGUUUUUUAAGUCUGAUGUGAAAGCCCACGGCUCAACCGUGGAGGGUCAUUGGAAACUGGAAAACUUGAGUGCAGAAGAGGAAAGUGGAAUUCCAUGUGUAGCGGUGAAAUGCGCAGAGAUAUGGAGGAACACCAGUGGCGAAGGCGACUUUCUGGUCUGUAACUGACGCUGAUGUGCGAAAGCGUGGGGAUCAAACAGGAUUAGAUACCCUGGUAGUCCACGCCGUAAACGAUGAGUGCUAAGUGUUAGGGGGUUUCCGCCCCUUAGUGCUGCAGCUAACGCAUUAAGCACUCCGCCUGGGGAGUACGACCGCAAGGUUGAAACUCAAAGGAAUUGACGGGGACCCGCACAAGCGGUGGAGCAUGUGGUUUAAUUCGAAGCAACGCGAAGAACCUUACCAAAUCUUGACAUCCUUUGACCACUCUAGAGAUAGAGUUUUCCCCUUCGGGGGACAAAGUGACAGGUGGUGCAUGGUUGUCGUCAGCUCGUGUCGUGAGAUGUUGGGUUAAGUCCCGCAACGAGCGCAACCCUUAAGCUUAGUUGCCAUCAUUAAGUUGGGCACUCUAAGUUGACUGCCGGUGACAAACCGGAGGAAGGUGGGGAUGACGUCAAAUCA